AGUCAUGUCCUACGGGGGCAGCAGUGAGGAAUAUUGGUCAAUGGGCGGGAGCCUGAACCAGCCAAGUCGCGUGAGGGAAGACGGUCCUAUGGAUUGUAAACCUCUUUUGUCGGGGAGCAAAGAGGCCACGUGUGGUCAAAAGCGAGAGUACCCGAAGAAAAAGCAUCGGCUAACUCCGUGCC
rnacentral:rRNA from 1 species